rnacentral:snRNA from 1 species
AUACUUACCUGGCAAGAGAGAUACCAUGAUCAUGAAGGUGGUUUUCCCAGGGCACGGCUUAUCCGUUGCACUCCGGAUGUGCUGACCCCUGCGAUUUCCCCAAAUGUCGGAAACUCGACUGCAUAACCUGUGGUAGUGGGGGACUGCAUUCGCGCUCUCCCCUG